rnacentral:rRNA from 1 species
AUGGAUCAUUAUCUGUCAACG